CGGCAUCAGUCCUUAUCACACCGCUUUCGACUUUUCGUCAUUUCGAUUCGGCUCGCAGUUGUCCCUUUGGGCGAUUACAAACGCUCGUUCGUGUUGAUUGCUGUCGCCGUCGUCGCGUAUUGCGAUUUUGGACAUUCGUUUCAGUCGACAAUCGCGGUUAUUUUUAAUAUAAUUACCAUACCGUCUCCGUCUCCCGCGUCGUCUUCGCAUCAAUAUACAUAUACACCUAAUACGCUCGUUGUUGUCGCCGUUCGAGUAGGUAGUCCGUUUCUUGUCUUCUGGUCCGCACCGUGAAAUUCCAAUGUUCGACAUCACGCGCAAUAGUACAUGGCAACGCGGACGGUGUUCUUCUGCCGUGGACCUGACACAGUGAGAUGCCAUAUAUGGUGUUCGAAAAAUCUCGACUGCGUCUGAAAAGGAAACAUUAUGAUGCGUUCCACAAAACGUACGUGCCGCACAGCUGACUUUUGCCUUUGAUAUUGUGUCGAACGGCGACCAAUUGUAUCGACAUUACUCGAGUGUGUCCAGAGUCGAUCAGCUUCGAAGACGGUCACGCUAAAGGAAUGAAAGAGAUGGAGGUUAUCAAAGAAGAAGAUAGGUUGCGGCGAUUGCAAAUCCUCGAGAAAAAGAUACGAGAUCCAAGAAAUGUUUCAAAUGUUGAUUCUUUGUUGGACACUGUACAAGCAUUAGUGGCUGAUUGUGAAAACCCUGCAGUUAAACGAAUGAAAAAUGUCGAAGCAUUUAUGCAAAGAUAUGAUAAAUUUGCCUCUGAUAUUUGUCAAUUACGUAUGAAACCUGAUGAUUUCAAUCUUAUUAAAGUUAUUGGAAGAGGAGCUUUUGGUGAAGUUCAAUUGGUGCGUCAUAAAUCAAAUAAUAAAGUGUAUGCCAUGAAAUUGUUAAGUAAAUUUGAAAUGAUAAAGCGGUCAGAUUCAGCAUUUUUUUGGGAAGAACGUGAUAUUAUGGCACAUGCAAAUUCAGAGUGGAUUGUUCAACUUCAUUUUGCUUUUCAAGAUCAUAAAUAUUUAUAUAUGGUUAUGGAUUAUAUGCCAGGUGGUGAUCUUGUUAAUUUAAUGUCCAAUUAUGAUGUUCCUGAAAAAUGGGCAAAGUUUUAUUGUGCUGAAGUUGUGUUAGCAUUAGAUGCAAUUCACUCAAUGGGAUUUGUACACAGGGAUGUUAAACCUGAUAAUAUGCUAUUGGAUAAAUAUGGUCAUUUAAAAUUAGCUGAUUUUGGAACGUGUAUGAGAAUGGGAUCGGAUGGGAUGGUUAGAUCUGACACAGCUGUUGGAACACCUGAUUACAUUUCACCAGAAGUAUUAGAAUCUCAAGGCGGAACUGGAACAGGAGACCAUGGCGUUUAUGGUAGAGAGUGCGAUUGGUGGUCUGUUGGUGUUUUUGUCUAUGAAAUGCUCAUUGGAGAUACCCCAUUCUAUGCAGAUUCACUUGUUGGAACAUACAGUAAAAUAAUGGACCAUAAAAAUUCUCUAAGUUUUCCUUCUGAUAUUGAAAUAUCCCAAAAUGCUAAAUCUUUGAUCUAUGCAUUUCUCACUAAUAGGAAAAAACGUCUCGGAAGAAAUGGAAUUAGUGAAAUUAAGGAACAUCCUUUUUUUCAAAAUGAUCAGUGGAGUUUUGAUAAUUUAAGAGAUUGUGUACCUCCUGUUGUCCCAGAGUUAAAUGGUGACGAUGACACAAGUAAUUUUGACGAUGUUGAAAAAGAUGAUGGUCCAGAAGAAAAUUUCCCUGUUCCUAAAGCAUUUGCUGGAAAUCAUUUACCAUUUGUAGGAUUCACUUAUUCUAGAGAUUAUCAAUUAUUGGGGAACAAUGUAACAAAUGGAGAAUGUUUACCUGAUACUGUGGAUUGUAAAGAAACUUCUCAUAUUGUUGUUCUUAAAAGAGAAUUGGAUAACGAAAGAAAAGAAUUGUUAGUUGUACGUGAUCAGAAUAAUAAGCUAUUGAUGCAGUUACAAGAUGGAGCUGACCGAGAAUUACUUCUCAAACAAAAAUCAUCAGCCUUAAAUACUUCUAUUUCUAAUCUCCACAAAGACUUGAAAGAUGCACAAAGAAAAGCUGACAAUGAAUGUGAAAUGCGUAGGAAAACUGAAUCAUUAUUACAAGAAUUAAAAAGAAAACUAGAUGAGGAACAAAAUAAAAGAACAAAAGAGAUGAACAAUAACCAACAACAUAAUGAUAAAAUAAAUUCCCUCGAAAAACAAAUGACCGAGCUGCACGAAAAACUUAAAGUGGAAACAGAUACUUGUACUAAGCUUCGUAAACAAGCGGCUGAAUUGGGAGUUGCCAAAGCAGCUAAUGAACGUAUGGCUGUUGAACUGCAAACAAUGUUAACUACUUUGCAACUAAAUCGAGACACAUUACAUGAAGAAUUAGCAACAUUACAAGGUCAAUUGUCUCAAGAAAAAAGUUCACUGCGAGAUUUACAACUGGAACUUGAAGGUCGUUUGCAAGCCUGUCAAGCUGAUCUUGUGCGCUCUAAAUUAAGAGAACAAAAAUUAAGUGAAGACAAUAGACAACUUGGAGAAAGAACAUCAGUAUUGGAAAAAGAAUGUGCAUCUUUAGUGUUGGAAUUAAAAACUGCUCAAAAUAGAUAUCAACAAGAAGUGAGGGCUCACGAAGAAACAGAAAAAAGCAGAUUAGUGAAUAAUGAGCAGGCUAAUCUUGAAAUAGUAAAAGUUAAAAUGGAUUAUAUAUUUAAAGCGCUUCAAACUAAACUAAGUGAAGAAAAAAGUGCCAGACAAAAAGCUGACUCCCUUACUCAAGAGAAAGAACGACAGAUAUCAAUGCUUUCUGUUGAUUAUCGUCAAAUACAACAGAGGCUUCAAAAACUUGAAGGUGAACAUCGACAAGAAGUAGAAAAAAGCAAAGCAUUACAUGUUCAAAUUGAUCAAGAAUUAACAAAAAAAUCUGCUUUGCAAUCUGAAUUGGGUGUGCAUAUAUCUGAAGCGACACAAUUACGUGCCAGAGAAGCACAAUUAUUGCGAGAAGUUACUUUAUUAAGAGAAAAUAAACGUGCUAUUGAAGAAGAACUGCAUAAAUUAAAGACUGAACACUCGGUGACUGAUUUACAGAUGAAAGAACUACAAGACCAAUUAGAAGCAGAACAAUACUUUUCAACUUUGUACAAGACUCAAGCUGCCGAACUCCGUGAAGAAGUCGAGGAUAGAGGAAAGGGCGCUGCCGAGUUGGAAGAAGAACGUGGCUCACUAGCUCAUCAAUUACAAAUAGCAUUAGCUAGAGCUGAUAGUGAAGCACUUGCUAGAUCUAUAGCUGAAGAAACUAUUAUAGAUCUUGAUAAGGAAAAGACAAUGAGAGAGCUAGAACUAAGAGACAGUCAAAAUCGGCAUCGCAAUGACUUAGAAUCAAAAGAAUUUACUCUUAAUAAUUUGAGAGAAGUAGAAAAUGAAUUAAAGAAAAAAAUGGAGCAAUUGAUUAAAGAUAAUGAAGAGUUGAAAACCCAGUUAACUAUAAUUCAAGAAGAAAGUAAAAAGAAUUUUAUUGAGGAACUUGAAAAGCUUAGAAAACAACUUAAGCAAGAACAGCUGCUGAAAGCUCAGGCUGUUAAUAAACUAGCUGAAAUCAUGAAUCGUAAAGAUAACACAACCAAAGGAAAGAGUAAAGUAUCAUCCGCCGAUUUGCGUAGAAAGGAGAAAGAAUGUCGAAAAUUACAACAAGAAUUGACACAAGAACGAGAGAAAUACAAUCAAGAAGUUACAAAGUGGCAGAAAGAACUUCAAGAACUUCAAUCACAAGUAGUAGACGAGAACGCUAGUAAACUAAGACUUCAAAUGGAACUUGAUUCAAAAGAUUCAGAAAUUGAACAACUUCAAGGAAAAUUAACCAAUUUAGGUAGUGAGACAGCAUCUCUAAGUAGUGCUGACAAUGAUGACACUGAUAUCUACACUCAAGAAUCCAGAUUAGAAGGCUGGUUAUCAGUUCCAAACAAACAAAACAUAAGACGACAUGGUUGGAAAAAACAAUAUGUUGUAGUAUCAUCAAAGAAAAUAUUUUUCUACAAUUCUGAAAGUGACAAACAAAAUACUGAUCCCAUAUUAAUUAUAAAUUUAAAUAAAGUGUUUCAUGUACGAUCAGUAACUCAAGGUGAUGUUAUUCGAGCAGAUGCUAAAGACAUCCCCAGAAUAUUUCAACUUUUAUAUGCAGGUGAAGGUGAGGCUAGAAGACCUAAUGAAUCUGGGCCAGAACAUCUAUCAAGAAGUACAAGUGUUACAAGCACUGUGGAUGAGAAGCCUGGUACAAUUACAUUAAAAGGACAUGAAUUUGUUCAAAUAUCGUUCCACAUGCCAACAAAUUGUGAAGUAUGUCCUAAACCAUUGUCAAAUGUUUUUAGACCUCCGCCAGCACUAGAGUGUAGAAGCUGUAGAAUUAAAGUUCACAAAGAACAUCUUGAGCGCAAAGAAGAUGCGAUUGCACCAUGCAAGCUGCAUAAUGAUCCAACAUCAGCUAAGGAGCUGUUGAUCCUGGCGCCUAGUCGUGAUGAUCAAAAGUUGUGGGUGCAGAGGUUAAGUAAAAAAAUCCAAAAGUGUGGAUACAAAGCUAAUACUAAUUUAGAUGGUUCCAAAAUAUCGCCAAGAGAAUCAACUCGAUCCACAUUAAAACUCUAUUCUGGAAGUUCUGUACAUCAGAGAUCUGCAACGUUACCAUCCAACAUUUCUAAAUAAACAUAAAAAAAAAAAAAAAAAUAGCUACAAAUGGUAAAGUGUUUAUGCAACAGUUAGCAGAUUCAAUCUUCAAUCAAACACA